rnacentral:rRNA from 1 species
UCCAGACUCCUACGGGAGGCAGCAGUGGGGAAUAUUGCACAAUGGGGGAAACCCUGAUGCAGCGACGCCGCGUGAGCGAUGAAGUAUUUCGGUAUGUAAAGCUCUAUCAGCAGGGAAGAAAAUGACGGUACCUGACUAAGAAGCCCCGGCUAACUACGUGCCAGCAGCCGCGGUAAUACGUAGGGGGCAAGCGUUAUCCGGAUUUACUGGGUGUAAAGGGAGCGUAGACGGAAAGGCAAGUCAGAAGUGAAAACCCAAGGCUCAACCAUGGGACUGCUUUUGAAACUGUCAAACUAGAGUACGGGAGAGGUAAGAGGAAUUCCUAGUGUAGCGGUGAAAUGCGUAGAUAUUAGGAGGAACACCAGUGGCGAAGGCGGCCUGCUGGGCUUUUACUGACGCUGAGGCUCGAAAGUGUGGGGAGCAAACAGGAUUAGAUACCCCCGUAUC